rnacentral:rRNA from 1 species
UACAGAGGGUGCAAGCGUUAAUCGGAAUUACUGGGCGUAAAGCGUGCGCAGGCGGUUUUAUAAGUUUGUCGUGAAAGCCCCGGGCUCAACCUGGGAAUUGCGAUGAAGACUGUAAGGCUAGAGUGUGUCAGAGGGGGGUAGAAUUCCACGUGUAGCAGUGAAAUGCGUAGAUAUGUGGAGGAACACCGAUGGCGAAGGCAGCCCCCUGGGAUAACACUGACGCUCAUGCACGAAAGCGUGGGGAGCAAACAGG